CCUACGGGUGGCAGCAGUGAGGAAUAUUGGUCAAUGGGCGCGAGCCUGAACCAGCCAAGUAGCGUGAAGGAUGACUGCCCUACGGGUUGUAAACUUCUUUUAUAAAGGAAUAAAGUGAGGCACGUGUGCCUUUUUGUAUGUACUUUAUGAAUAAGGAUCGGCUAACUCCGUGCCAGCAGCCGCGGCAAUACGGAGGAUACGAGCGUUUUCCGGAUUUAUUGGGUUUAAAGGGAGCGUAGGUGGGUGGUUAAGUCAGUUGUGAAAGUUUGCGGCUCAACCGGAAAAUUGCAAUUGAUACUGGCAGUCUUGAGUACAGUUGAGGUAGGCGGAAUUCGUGGUGUAGCGGUGAAAUGCAUAGAUAUCACGCAGAACUCCGAUUGCGAAGGCAGCUUACUAAACUAUAACUGACACUGAGGCACGAAAGCGUGGGGAGCAAACAGGAUUAGAUACCCCAGUAGUC
rnacentral:rRNA from 1 species